GGAGACACAGGCUUGGGUCAGCAUCUGUGGGGACGAUCACACAGCACUAGUGAAGCAGUCCCAGAGUGAAGUCCCCAGGAUCUGGGCAGUGGACCUUUUAUCUGGCGGUGGGGAGCCUCUAUGUGCUGCAGCUGGAGCCGCUCCUGGAAGACAGGCUGCUCCCAGGUGUUGGAUAGUUGCUGUAGCUCCAGGGCCUUGACUGGGCUGAUCCACUCUGGCCUGCGGCUGCUGUCCAUGGUCCUGCACACACUGGGGAUCAGGAGAGGUGACAGGAGAGAGAGAGAAAACAAGGACAGCUGGGCGAGGCACCCAGUCCCUGCAUCACAAUGGGUUAAAACAGCAGUGAAUAGAGCACGUGACCCAGCCCUCUACAGACCCACUGCUGUUCACACAUCAGAGCUCCUCUAACUGUGUGUGACAGGAUUUGUAUAGAGGAAGGGGCUUUGCAUACCUGUCCUGCCUCACUGCUCCACACACUUUAAGGCCCCCAGUACAGAUCAGUGACUGACCAGUCCUUUCACAGACACUGACACAGGCAGCAUUAUGAUGAUGUCGGUCUUUUUACUGCUGGCGAUGAUGGAACUCUUUGCUCAGGAAUCGAUGGCAGAUGUAGUUCUGACCCAGUCUCCAUCAGCUCAGUCUGUUCAGCUGGGAGACACUGUCUCUAUCAGCUGUACAGCCAGUCAGAGCGUUUACACUUACAG